rnacentral:lncRNA from 1 species
UCCAAACAAAUAUUUAUUUCAGGAAUUUACACAUCUGUAUCCUGUACAACAUUAUCAUAAUACCAUCUAAAUUUCAGCCAAAGGAAACAAUAUUCCCUUUUUUUCUCUUAUCCAUAUUAUCCAGAUGACAUGUGGUAUAACAUUGAAUUUUGAACCUACAAAAAAUUUAGCAAAUUUAAUAGACUAUCAUUCAUCAUAUAACACAUAGUUUCAUACUCAGAAUAUAUCUUUCAUAUCAUCAUCUUAUAUUAUCAACAUAAUACAUGCUUUAAACAAACUGAGUUCCAUAACUCAAAUCACCUUAGUCAUAUGUUUAAUUUACUCAUUCACGAAGUAUCAUAAAGAAAAUCAUGCAUGCUCAUAUACUUGUAAACAUAAAACAUGUAAACACAGAAAUAGACUUAAAAACUUGCCUCGGUUCUUGGUUCAUCAUCUACCUCAGUUAUAUUCAAUACUUCUAUUCCAUUCAAAAAGAAGGAUAAUGCCUUGACCUUUUUCAAAUACCUCAUCCAUGCUUAUAUGUAAGUCUUUUAUCUGUAUUUCGUUGAACACAAAGAUAAGCAAAAAUAACUAUACCUCAGCUUUAAACAACACUAGUUUUAUAUCAUAACAACAUCUCUCUAUAUCAGUUUCUGAGAAAUUUUUACAUUUCUUUAGAAUUUUCAAGAUUUUGACUUAAAAUAGUCAUAAGCUUGCAAAAAGUUCUAAUACUUCUUUUAAAAUGCCAAAACAUUGCAUUUACAUUUUAUAACCCCUUUUACAAGGUAUUUAUAGAUUUAAUAUACAUCUGUAUGAAAAUUCACAGUUAUAUAGUGCGGCUAUGACCUUCUUUGCGCAUUCUUAGCUUAACUUUCUUUCACGAAUCCUACAUAAUUAUAUUCACGUAUACGAACGUAUUAGCCAUGAAUCCAUAACAUAUAACUUGUAUAGUUAUCUAUUAAAUAUCCAUAUUGGCCAUAUCAAUAGCUUUCCUUCUUGUUUUUGAAAAACUCUUAUAUUCAUUUCAAAACUUUUAUUCUUUUACUUACGGUAGUCAUUUAUUGCUUAAUAGCCUUUGACGUGGUUUUAAUACAUGUAUACUUCACAAUUUCAGUUUAUAAACCACUCAUAACUUAAUACAUGAGUAUUCCAUACAUCUUAUACAUAACUCAAGUGUACAACAAAAAUUUAUAACGUAUUUCAUAUCUUGGAAGUAAUUAUAACUUUUUUGGGUAACUUAUAGUUCCCAUAAUAAUUUAUAGUUUUAUUACCGUACAUUAUCGCAUUAAAUAUUCUUACAUUUCAAUGUAAUGCCAAAAUAUCCCUCUUUUUGACCAAGUGUGUCUAACAGCUCCUUGUUGUCUUUCUAUGCCGGUAGCUAAGCUUGACUUGGCCCCGUGGGGCUCAACUAAGCUUGGUGCGGCCUCGCUUGACCCUGCGGCCCCAAUCGUAGCCCAACAACCCCAAACUUGGUUUUUUUUAUCUUGUAGAUCCAAUUAUAUUACAUUAUAAAUAUAUUAUAGAUUCUAUAACACGUAUACUUGAUUAUUCUAAAAACAUUAUAAGCUAUUCUUGCCGAGUAAACUAACACAAAGCCACAAUUGGCCCAAAAAAAAUUGAUACUCGCUUCUACUACUGUGCUAACUGAUGCUGCCAAUGGGCAACAUCCCCUUCUACCUUAUCCAUCAUUUUGACAAACCAUUUUUCCAUGACUUUGGAUCCGUUCAUGAUGAAAAGUUACAUAUUGCAUAGGUGGUGUACCCACCCAUUUAUGAAAGUAAUAGACUAAACGUUUCGGAUAAAUAACACAUGACAAUUUGAGAGCGCAAGGGAGGUUCUCCUGCUGCCCUGUAACGUGAUGUUGCUGUCUACUGUUAUGCACAGCAGCAGCAUUUUGUGCAUCGGGCUACUUCACACCUUUAUAUCUUUUAGCCUACAACUCCAAUCAUGCCCCAUUUUAAGUAUGUUGUAGACACUAUAGAAUACUAGUUAGAAAAAUAUUAGCCUUCCAUGUUUGGACUCUUUGGGCUGCUCAAAACAAUACCCAAAAGUAGCUUAUCAUACUAGUUUUCAAUUUUUCAUUUUAGCUAAAAAUUGUUUUCCGUUCUAAUAUAAUACGCCCAAACUCUUUAAUUAUCAUCAUAUGUAAUAUAUGAAUAUAUCCCAAGCCUUGUUUCUAUCUAAUAUUUGAUUUUUAAUAAAAACAGUCCAUAUAGGACUUUUAGAAAACACCUUGCGUACACUGUUUUGAAAUACCAAUUUCAUAGCUAUUUGUUUGUUUCAUAACUCUAUAUUAGCCUCCUUAUAUCUCCACACAACCAACCUAUACUCAUUUGCUAUAUUUCAGUCAAUAGCAGUCCAUUUCAUAAUCAAACUAAACAUAUUAGUUUAUAACUUGUUAGUUUACUAACUUUACAAAUUCUUCAAAGUUUUAUAUUUUCCUUUGAUUCUACAUAUUUGAUAUACAAUAUCUCCAUUCCCAUGGAUUAUACAAUAUCACAUAAAUAAUACCCAGUGCCUCAAUUAUCAAUUUCUUACAUAAACAUCUACCUCAAUUUUUAUAAACAUAACAAGAGAUGUAGAUUACCUCUUGUUUGCUAUCUAACUUGACUUUCUUGCUACCACAGCCCUCCUUUGAUAUCAUGAUGCCAUCUUCAGUCCAUUAUGCUAAAUUUCUUGCCAAUAUAAAUGAUUG